rnacentral:rRNA from 1 species
AGCAUAUCAAUAAGCGGAGGAAAAGAAACCAACCGGGAUUGCCCCAGUAACGGCGAGUGAAGCGGCAAAAGCUCGAAUUUGAAAUCUGGGGUCUUUUGGGCCUCCGAGUUGUAAUUUGUAGAGGAAGCCUCGGAGGGCGAGCCGGUCCAAGUGCCUUGGAACAGGAUACCGCAGAGGGUGAGAGUCCCGUAUCCGGCCGGCGUCGCGCUCCGUGUGAGGCUCCUUCGACGAGUCGAGUUGUUUGGGAAUGCAGCUCCAAGCGGGUGGUAAAUUCCAUCUAAAGCUAAAUACUGGCCAGAGACCGAUAGCGAACAAGUAGAGUGAUCGAAAGAUGAAAAGCACUUUGAAAAGAGAGUCAAACAGUACGUGAAAUUGUUGAAAGGGAAGCGUAUGGGGGCAGACUUGGCCGCGGGGUUCAGGGCGCCCUUCUUGGGCGCCUGUACUUCCCCGCGGACAGGCCAGCAUCGGUUUUGGGGGCCGGACAAAGGCGUCGGGAAUGUGGCUCCCUUCGGGGCGUGUUAUAGCCCGACGUGCAAUGCGGCCACCUGGGACCGAGGACCGCGCCUUGUGCAAGGAUGCUGGCGUAAUGGCCUCAUGC